GUGAAAAAUAAUUUAAUCAAUUAAUUGCUGCUGUGAAAAUAAUGCGAUAUUUUAAUUAUUUUCUCGUCAUCAAUUAGAAUAUUACUAUAUCACUUCCACAUUAAAGAUAUGUUAAUAUUUAGUCAACUAUAUCGACCGUUUCUAGAGCAAGUGGCAAAGGGUUUGGUGGUNACCGACCGUCCUUAUAACAAGUGGCAAAAGACUUGGUGAUUGAUAUCCGAGACUCAAGUUUGAAUCCUAAUUGAUUCACAUUUCUAGCUAAAUUUUGUGGUACUUGACAAUAACGAUUCAAAAAGUUCGAGCCAAUAAUCGCAAUCAAUUAAAAUUUGAGAAUCAAAGCAUCUGCAUCCAGUAAUUUGACACCAAAAGUGUAAUUUAAUCAUGUCAACAAGUUGGAUUUUCAAAUAUCUGAAUCUGAAUCGAGAUUUGACGAAUUUCAAAAAUUCAUAUCCAAAAUUGAAUCUGACUAACAAUCACAAACCGGAACCAAAGUUCGAACCCGAAAAUCUAAACUUAAAACAAUCAUUUUUUGUUACCAUAUUUCAACACACAUUAUAUUAAAAUCAAAAUUUUCAAAAUAUAAAUUUAAACAUAACAUUAAACAUUCAUAUAUAUUAUAUGUUAGGCUGAAUUAUAGAAAAUUCUCUUAUAAAUACUGGUAUUUUUACUUUUUCUCUCAAACGUUUAAAAAUCUAUAUUUUAUCCCUCAACAUUUCAAUUUUUUCUCCAUUAGGGUUCAAUCACUAUUCCGUCUACUUCUUAUAAUUUAUAUUAAAAAAAUCCUCCUAAAUGAUGAAAAUAUAUUAAAAAAUUAUUUUUUUAAAAAAAGUAUGGACAAUUUAGUCAUUUUAUCUUCUCCACUAAAAUUGUAUAUCUCUAAAAAUAUUUUUUAAAAUUUUAGGAGACGAAAUAUAAAUUUUUGAGAGUCAGAAAAGGUAAAAAUGCAAAUAUUUAUAAAAAAAUUAUGUAAUUUAGU
rnacentral:lncRNA from 1 species